AGUCCAGCACCUGCCCUGGGGCCCAGCUGGCCUGUUUUUAGAAGCUUCUUAGAGAAGGAAGAGGAGAAGGAGAAGGAAGGCCUGGGGAGCAGGGAUGGAGGGUCCUGGGCACUACCCACUAUUUACUGUCUUAGAUGGUGACUCAGGAGGGGACCUGGUGCUGGAGACCACCUUGGGGUCAGUGGUCACAGUGCAUCUUUCUGAGCUCAGCCAUGGAGGCCUCAAAGUGCUUCACAACCACAUCAUCGUCCAUAGCCCAGAUAAGAAGUGAUGGAGUGAGCUGAGCUGCCAGGCUUCCUGGAGUGAUUCUUGGAUGCUGGGUCAUGUGGUUAGGGGCCCUGAUGGGACUGAACUGGAAGGAACCAGAAUAGGACAGAACCAAGCCCCUGAUUAGUGGGCACUGGUGGCCUGGCCUCAUGACCACAGGACACACUGUUCCCAGGGCACAGACACCCUGGGCUUUGGUUGGGUCUUGGCCUCCAGGUAGGGCCCUGUUGGGCAGCGGGCAGCAACUCCUGAGACACUACUGUGAUUCUUGGUGGUGGCUGUGGUAAAAAACCUGCAGGGCUAGAGUUUGGGGUGAGAUUCAGCAGUAACUGUGGCCUCUCCUAGUGAGAGUAUGUCACUCCCACUCCCAGCACCCAUGCCCACAGGCCACGGCCUCCACAUCACAAACCCCCCACCAAGUUGCCCAUCUGUGGAGCAGCUCCCAUAUGGCAGGGUCAGGCUCUUACCUCCACCUCCAGGGCACAGACAGGGGGAGCUCUGUCUCACUGUAAGGCAAUGAGGAGAGUUGAGGGCCCAGACCAGGCUAGGGGCCAUCCCCUUUCCCGAGCAGGCCUCAGGGAAGGACCAGCCCCAUCCCCAUCUGACCCAGGUCUUAGCCCAGGAGCCUGCAUAGGGAAGAAAGGACAGACAGGGCCUCCUUACUGGCUGACACUCAGGAGGGGCUGGGGCAAGAGAGCAGAGGGAGCGCAGGGCCAGGCAGGGGCUGCUGAGGAUCCAUGGGGGCUCAGGGUGCACAAGGGGGCUGCCCUUCCUGGGCUGCAGGCAGCAUCCCCUAUGGGAGCUGAGAAAGUCCAAUCCUGAGAUGGGACAGUGCUGCCCAGGGGUGUGUGGCUGGGCCCUGACAACAGUCUCCCCAAAAGUGACCACAUCACCAGGCUCAGUUCCAGGAAGGCUGAGAAGUGCCCAGUACACUGAGGAUGCACCUGGAGCCCGUCAUGUCUAAUAAAUUCUGACCAUCCUGCAUCUGCUUGCCUCUCCUGCAUAUUCGCCACCACCCCUUCCCUUUUCCUCAUUCCUCCAUCGUGUCUGACCCAGGGGCUGUGACUCUCUCUCCAGCCACAGUGGCCUUUCUUUUACCUUUGUCCUGUAAGAGCCCCUGAGCAAGACUCCUCUGAUCCAUCCACAUGCCUGCCUUAUCGCUUACUAAUUGGGCUGCUGUGCACUGCUGCGGUGGCACCAGAGGUAAUGAGGGUGACUGAGGACACCACAGGUGGCCAGUUUGGCCCUCUACCCAAUUCCUAGCCUCAGGAGGUUCUCAGGGCUGUCAGCCAGGAGCCCUGGCUUGGGGCACCUGGCUGUCCUCCUCCCUCCGUUCUUUUCUGACAGCCUCACCCACUUGUCCUCUGUCCAUGGUGCUGACCAAGCCAGCAGGGAGCAGGUCCCCAGAGGGUGGGGCUGAGUUUUGGGGACUGACCGAGGCUCCUCCGCUGAGGGGUCCCAGGUGAGUCGCUUCCCCUGGUUCUGUGUCAUCUGCUGUCCUCUUCAGCACAAUUCACCCCACCCCAGGCCGGCUCCAUGCAGAUGCAUCCCCGAGUCACCAGUCUCAGUGUCCUCUGUUGUAGGAUGCAGAUUACUGUACCUGCUGUACACAUUCAUAUUUAUUGUGUGAAAUAAAUUAUAAAAGCUAAAAUAAAUGAGGACUUUGAUUUGCA